UACGGGGGGGGGCAAGCGUUGUUCGGAUUUACUGGGCGUAAAGGGCGCGUAGGCGGCAACUCAAGUCAGCUGUGAAAUCUCCGGGCUUAACUCGGAACGGUCAGCUGAUACUGUUUUGCUAGAGUGCGGAAGGGGCAAUCGGAAUUCUCGGUGUAGCGGUGAAAUGCGUAGAUAUCGAGAGGAACACCAGAGGUGAAGACGGGUUGCUGGGCCGACACUGACGCUGACAGCGCGAAAGCCAGGGGAGCAAACGGG
rnacentral:rRNA from 1 species